AGCUGGAGCUGGUGCACUGAGCGAGGGGGGAGAGCGACCGAGAAGCACAAGUGUAAAAUACAUAAGAGAAGUUCUCUUUAUACCAGAACAGAAAUCCAGAUUUUUUUUUGUUUUUAUUUUUGUUCAUUUGCAGCCCAGAUCUGGUCUUCAUCUUGGUUACCUAAACAGGGAAACAUCAUAUGGUAUUGUUAGUAAAGCAGUGAUCCAAAAGAACAAAAGUCACUUUCAUAAUUAGAACAACUUGAGGUGAUUAACAGGAAGUGUCUCAUGUCUACUGAGAACAUGUGUUGAAGUAUUGUGUAACAUAUCCCCUUUAAAAUGACAUCACCGUUGAAGCUGCUUUUAAAAUAGUGAGAGUGAGAAAAUAUAAUGCUCUUGUUUUGUUGUAAUGCAGUUCUAAAAAGACUGUCCUUUUCUUUUCAUUCAUACUGUAUGCUCUGUUACAAGCUGUUUAUUGCCAACGUGUUGUAUCUUUUAUUUUCCUAUUUGUCCCAUCUUUUAAACAUGCGU